GACGAACGCUGGCGGCGUGCCUAAUACCUGCAAGUCGAACGCAGUGGGGACGGGAGAGUAACACGUGGGUAACCUCCCAUCAGAGGGGAUAACACUUGGAAACAGGUGCUAAACCGAUACUGAUGGAUGGACCCGCGGUGCAUUAGCUAGUUGGUGGGGUAACGGCUCACCAAGGCCACGAUGCAUAGACGACCUGAGAGGGUGAUCGGCAACACUGGAACUGAAACACGGCCCAGACGCCGACGGGAGGCAGCAGUAGGGAAUCUUCGGCAAUGGACAAAAGUCUGACCAAGAAACGCAGCGUGAGUGAUAAAGGUUUUCGGAUCGUAAGACUCUGUUGUUAGAGAAGCGAUAUCUAACCAGAAAGCCACGGCUAACUACGUGCCAGCAGCCGCGGUAAUAC
rnacentral:rRNA from 1 species